rnacentral:rRNA from 1 species
UCGAACGGUAACAUUUCUAGCUUGCUAGAAGAUGACGAGUGGCGGACGGGUGAGUAAUGCUUGGGAACUUGCCUUUGCGAGGGGGAUAACAGUUGGAAACGACUGCUAAUACCGCAUAAUGUCUUCGGACCAAACGGGGCUUCGGCUCCGGCGCAAAGAGAGGCCCAAGUGAGAUUAGCUAGUUGGUAAGGUAACGGCUUACCAAGGCGACGAUCUCUAGCUGUUCUGAGAGGAAGAUCAGCCACACUGGGACUGAGACACGGCCCAGACUCCUACGGGAGGCAGCAGUGGGGAAUAUUGCACAAUGGGGGAAACCCUGAUGCAGCCAUGCCGCGUGUGUGAAGAAGGCCUUCGGGUUGUAAAGCACUUUCAGUUGUGAGGAAAAGUUAGUAGUUAAUACCUGCUAGCCGUGACGUUAACAACAGAAGAAGCACCGGCUAACUCCGUGCCAGCAGCCGCGGUAAUACGGAGGGUGCGAGCGUUAAUCGGAAUUACUGGGCGUAAAGCGCACGCAGGCGGUUUGUUAAGCUAGAUGUGAAAGCCCCGGGCUCAACCUGGGAUGGUCAUUUAGAACUGGCAGACUAGAGUCUUGGAGAGGGGAGUGGAAUUCCAGGUGUAGCGGUGAAAUGCGUAGAUAUCUGGAGGAACAUCAGUGGCGAAGGCGACUCCCUGGCCAAAGACUGACGCUCAUGUGCGAAAGUGUGGGUAGCGAACAGGAUUAGAUACCCUGGUAGUCCACACCGUAAACGCUGUCUACUAGCUGUGUGUGUCUUUAAGACGUGCGUAGCGAAGCUAACGCGCUAAGUAGACCGCCUGGGGGAGUACGGCCGCAAGGUUUAAAACUCAAAUGAA